rnacentral:rRNA from 1 species
GUAGGGUGCGAGCGUUUAAUCGGAAUUAUGGGCGUAAAGCGUGCGCAGGCGGCUUUGCAAGACAGAUGUGGAAAUCCCCCGGGGGCUCAACCUGGGGAACUGCAUUUGUGACUGCAAGGCUAGAGUACGGCAGAGGGGGAUGGAAUUUUCGCGUGUAGCAGUGAAAUGCGUGAUAUGCGGAGGAACACCGAUGGCGAAGGCAAUCCCCUGGGCCUGUACUUGACGCUCAUGCACGAAAGCGUGGGGAGCAAACAGGAUUAGAUACCCUGGUAGUCCACGCCCUAAACGAUGUCAACUGGUUGUUGGACGGCUUGCUGUUCAGUAACGAAGCUAACGCGUGAAGUUGACCGCCUGGGGAGUACGGCCGCAAGGUUG